rnacentral:rRNA from 1 species
UACGUAGGCAGCGAGCGUUGUUCGGAGUUACUGGGCGUAAAGAGUGCGUAGGCGGUUUUCUAAGUUUGGUGUGAAAUCUCCCGGCUUAACUGGGAGGGUGCGCCGAAGACUGGAAGGCUUGAGUAUGGGAGAGGUAAGCGGAAUUCCUGGUGUAGCGGUGAAAUGCGUAGAUAUCUGGAGGAAUACCGGUGGCGAAGGCGGCAUCCUGGGCCAUUACUGACGCUGAGGCGCGAAAGCGUGGGGAGCAAACAGG